rnacentral:rRNA from 1 species
ACAAGCAGCCAUAUCACCCUGCCAAUCACAACUGACAACCUCCUGAAGCUCAGCUGGUGUGGACCUGGCCAGUACCUGGAUGGGAGAUCUCCUGGGAAAGCUAAGGUUGCUGCUGGAA